GGUAGAACAGACUGCGUGGCCUAAUGGAUAAGGCGUCUGACUUCGAAUCAGAAGAUUGAGGGUUCGAGUCCCUUCGCUAUCA